UACGAAGGACCCAAGCGUUAUCCGGAUUUAUUGGGUUUAAAGGGUGCGUAGGCGGGUUGUUAAGUCAGUGGUGAAAGCUCCGAGCCUAACUCGGAAACUGCCAUUGAUACUGACGAUCUUGAGUACAUUUGAGGUGGGCGGAAUGUGUCAUGUAGCGGUAGAAAUUGCUUAGAUAUAACACAGAACACCGAUUGCGAAGGCAGCUCACUAAACUGUAACUGAACGCUGAGGCACGGAAAGCGUGGGGGAGCAAACAGG
rnacentral:rRNA from 1 species